rnacentral:rRNA from 1 species
UUAAGCUAAAAAGAGCGCAGGGCGGAUGCCUUGGCACUGAGAGCCGAUGAAAGACGUGAUAAGCUGCGAAAAGCUGCGGGGAGUGGCAAAUACACAUUGAUCCGCAGAUAUCUGAAUGGGGGAACCCACACCGCAAGGUGUAUCCGUGACUGAAUACAUAGGUUACGGAGGCGAACGAGGAGAACUGAAACAUCUAAGUAUCCUCAGGAAAAGAAAUCAACCGAGAUUCCGGCAGUAGCGGCGAGCGAACCCGGAGGAGCCUAGCUUUUGAUAGUACGAACUUUAGCCGAAAGGUCCUGGAAAGGCCUGCUAUAGUGGGUGAUAGCCCCGUAGGCGAAAGAGUUCGUACGGUACUAAGGAAGCGAGAAGUAGAGCGGGACACGUGGAAUCCUGUUCGAAGAUGGGGGGACCAUCCUCCAAGGCUAAAUACUCGUGAUCGACCGAUAGUGAACCAGUACUGUGAAGGAAAGGCGAAAAGAACCCCGGGAGGGGAGUGAAAUAGAACCUGAAACCGCAUACAUACAAACAGUAGGAGCCCCUGCAGUGGGGUGACUGCGUACCUUUUGCAUAAUGGGUCAGCGACUUACGUUUUGUGGCGAGCUUAACCGAGUAGGGGAGGCGUAGCGAAAGCGAGUUCGAAUAGAGCGAAGAGUCUCAAGGCGUAGACCCGAAACCAGAUGAGCUAUCCAUGGCCAGGUUGAAGGUGUGGUAACACACACUGGAGGACCGAACCGACUAGUGUUGCAAAAUUAGCGGAUGAGCUGUGGAUAGGGGUGAAAGGCUUAACAAAUCUGGAGAUAGCUGGUUCUCCCCGAAAACUAUUGAGGUAGUGCCUCGUGUAUUGCUCCAGGGGGUAGAGCACUGUUAUGGCUAGGGGGACAUGGCGUCUUACCAAACCAUGGCAAACUCCGAAUACUUGGAAGUAAGAGCACGGGAGACAGAGCACCGGGUGCUAACGUCCGGACUCAAGAGGGAAACAACCCAGACCGCCGUUUAAGGUCCCAAAUAUUGACUAAGUGGAAAACGAAGUGUGAAGGCUAAGACAGUCAGGAAGUUGGCUUAGAAGCAGCCAUCCUUCAAAGAAAGCGUAAUAGCUCACUGAUCGAGUCCUCAUGCGCGGAAGAUGUAACGGGGCUAAGUCAAUAACCGAAAGCGCGGAUUUGCAUGAAAAUGCAAGUGGUAGGGGAGCGUUCUGUAAGCCUGCGAAGGUGGUUCGAGAGGACUGCUGGAGGUAUCAGAAGUGCGAAUGCUGACAUGAGUAACGUUAAAGCGGGUGAAAAGCCCGCUCGCCGUAAGCCCAAGGUUUCCUGCUCUACGUUCAUCGGAGCAGGGUGAGUCGGCCCCUAAGGCCAGGCUGAGAAGCGUAGUCGAUGGGAAGCAGAUUAAUAUUUCUGCACCAUGUGCAAGUGCGAUGGGGGGACGGAGUGCGAAAGAUCAUCCGGGUGUUGGAUGUCCCGGUUUGUGAGUGUAGAAGGCCGACAGGCAAAUCCGUCGGCGGAUCUUCGAGACAAAGCAUCGAGGUUCUACGGAACCGAAGUGAUCGGAAGUGCUUCCAGGAAAAGCCUCUAAGCUUCAGCUUGCAUAUGACCGUACCGUAAACCGACACUGGUGGGCGAGUUGAAUAUACUCAGGCGCUUGAGAGAACUCGGGAGAAGGAACUCGGCAAAUUGACACCGUAACUUCGGGAUAAGGUGUGCCUUUGUAGCGUGAAGAGAGAAACACUCGGAGCGUGAAGAGGCCUCAGAGAAUCGGUGGCUGCAACUGUUUAUUAAAAACACAGCACUCUGCAAAGACGAAAGUCGACGUAUAGGGUGUGAUGCCUGCCCGGUGCUGGAAGAUUAAGUGAUGGGGUGAGAGCUCCUGAUCGAAGUCCCAGUAAACGGCGGCCGUAACUAUAACGGUCCUAAGGUAGCGAAAUUCCUUGUC